rnacentral:lncRNA from 1 species
GGUCAACAUGGGCAAAGUGCUAAGAUUUUGGACUACGAGGUUUGGCGCUGCCAGUGCUCUCAGGACAGGAAGGGCACAGGUCUUGAACCCUGAAGAUGAAGAGAGAUGGAGCAGGUGCUAAUCACCAGGCCUCUUCCAGAGCGGCUGGAGGUAAGUGCCGGGCUCCAGGCUCCAAUCUCCACCCAGAUGGAGAAAGGCCCAGAUUUCAUGGCUAUCC